AACGAACGCUGGCGGCAUGCCUAACACAUGCAAGUCGAACGAGACCUUCGGGUCUAGUGGCGCACGGGUGCGUAACGCGUGGGAAUCUGCCCUUGGGUUCGGAAUAACAGUUGGAAACGACUGCUAAUACCGGAUGAUGACGUAAGUCCAAAGAUUUAUCGCCCAAGGAUGAGCCCGCGUAGGAUUAGCUAGUUGGUGAGGUAAAGGCUCACCAAGGCGACGAUCCUUAGCUGGUCUGAGAGGAUGAUCAGCCACACUGGGACUGAGACACGGCCCAGACUCCUACGGGAGGCAGCAGUGGGGAAUAUUGGACAAUGGGCGAAAGCCUGAUCCAGCAAUGCCGCGUGAGUGAUGAAGGCCUUAGGGUUGUAAAGCUCUUUUACCCGGGAUGAUAAUGACUGUACCGGGAGAAUAAGCUCCGGCUAACUCCGUG
rnacentral:rRNA from 1 species